rnacentral:rRNA from 1 species
GACUACAGGGGUAUCUAAGCCCGUUCGCUACCCUAGCUUUCGCUCCUCAGCGUCAGAAAAGACCCAGUAGGCCGCUUUCGCCACCGGUGUUCCAGAUGAUAUCAACGCAUUUCACCGCUCCACCAUCUGUUCCGCCUACCUCUAUCUCCCUCAAGCCUAACGGUUUCAAGCGCUAUUCCACAGUUGAGCUGUGGGAUUUCACACCUGACCUGCUAGGCCGCCUACGAACUCUUUAAGCCCAGUGAUACCGAAUAACGUUUGGAGAGCUCGUCUUACCGCGGCUGCUGGCACGAGCUUAGCCUCUCCUUCCUCCUAGGAUCACUCAAAUACAGGGGAGUACCCCCGUACAUUUGUUCCCCUACGACAGCGGUUUACAACCCGAAGGCCUUCAUCCCGCACGCGGCGUCGCUUGUUCAGACUUUCGUCCAUUGACAAAGAUUCUCGACUGCAGCCCCCCGUAGG